UACGUAGGCGGCCUGUUAAGUCAGUGGUGAAAGUUUGCGGCUUAACCGUAAAAUUGCCAUUGAUACUGAUAGGCUUGAGUACAGUUGAGGUAGGCGGAAUGUGUAGUGUAGCGGUGAAAUGCUUAGAUAUUACACAGAACUCCGAUUGCGAAGACAGCUUACUAAACUGAGACUGACGCUGAGGUACGAAAGCGUGGAUAGCGAACA
rnacentral:rRNA from 1 species